rnacentral:rRNA from 1 species
UACGUAGGUGGCAAGCGUUGUCCGGAAUUACUGGGCGUAAAGGGCGUGUAGGCGGCCAAUUAAGUCAGACGUGAAAACCAGGGGCUUAACCUCGGGAGUGCGUUUGAAACUGACUGGCUAGAGGAUCGGAGAGGGCAGUGGAAUUCCCAGUGUAGCGGUGAAAUGCGCAGAUAUCAGGAGGAACACCGAUGGCGAAGGCAGGUCACUGGGCCGCAACUGACGCUGAGGAGCGAAAGCAUGGGGAGCGAACAGG